GACGAACGCUGGCGGCGUGCCUAAUACAUGCAAGUAGAACGCUGAAGGAGGAGCUUGCUUCUCUGGAUGAGUUGCGAACGGGUGAGUAACGCGUAGGUAACCUGCCUGGUAGCGGGGGAUAACUAUUGGAAACGAUAGCUAAUACCGCAUAACAGUAGAUAUCGCAUGAUAUCUACUUGAAAGGUGCAAUUGCAUCACUACCAGAUGGACCUGCGUUGUAUUAGCUAGUUGGUGAGGUAACGGCUCACCAAGGCGACGAUACAUAGCCGACCUGAGAGGGGGGUCGGCCACACUGGGACUGAGACACGGCCCAGACUCCUACGGGAGGCAGCAGUAGGGAAUCUUCGGCAAUGGACGGAAGUCUGACCGAGCAACGCCGCGUGAGUGAAGAAGGGUGUCGGAUCGUAAAGCUCUGUUGUAAGAGAAGAACGAGUGUGAGAGUGGAAAGUUCACACUGUGACGGUAUCUUACCAGAAAGGGACGGCUAACUACGUG
rnacentral:rRNA from 1 species